rnacentral:rRNA from 1 species
AGGUGAAGACGGUGCACUGGGCUGUCCUGACGCUGAGGUGCGAAAAGCGUGGGGAGCGAACGGGAUUAGAUACCCCGGUAAGUCCACGCCGUAAACGAUGUCUACUAGGUUCGUGGGUGUUCUGACACAUUCCACGGCCGGAGCAAAAGUGUUUAAGUAGACCCGCCCUGGGGAGUACGGCCGCAAGGUUAAAACUCAAAAUGAAUUGACGGGGGCUCACACAAGCGGUGGAGCAUGUGGAUUAAUUCGAAAGCAACGCGCAGAACCUUACCUGGGUUUGACAUGCUUGGAUGCCCUGCUCUGAAAGGAGUUAGGCUGCCUUCGGGUGAAACUUGCACAGGUGCUGCAUGGCUGUCGUCAGCUCGUGUCGUGAGAUGUUGGGUUAAGUCCUUUAACGAGCGAAAACCCUUGCCGUUAGUUGCCAGCGAGUAAUGUCGGGGACUCUAACGGGACUGCCGGUGUUAAACCCGGAGGAAGGUGGGGAUGACGUCAAGUCCUCAUGGCCUUUAUGCCCAGGGCUUCACACGUGCUACAAUGGCAAUUACAGAGCGACGCGAUACCGCGAGGUGGAGCAAAUCGCAAAAAAAUUGCCUCAGUUCGGAUUGCAGGCUGGCAAUUCGCCUGCAUGAAGUCGGAAUCGCUAGUAAUCGCGUAUCAGCAAUGACGCGGUGAAUGUGUUCCUGAGCCUUGUACA